rnacentral:rRNA from 1 species
GACGAACGCUGGCGGCGUGCCUAACACAUGCAAGUCGAACGGAGAUACGAUUUCGGUUGUAUCUUAGUGGCGAACGGGUGAGUAACGCGUGAGCAACCUGACCUUUAGAGGGGGAUAACACUUGGAAACAGGUGCUAAUACCGCAUAAGACCACGACCCGACAUCGGGAUGAGGUCAAAGGAGAAAUCCGCUAAAGGAGGGGCUCGCGUCCCAUUAGAUAGAUGGCGGGGUAACGGCCCACCAUGUCGACGAUGGGUAGCCGAGCUGAGAGGCUGAUCGGCCACACUGGAACUGAGACACGGUCCAGACUCCUACGGGAGGCAGCAGUGGGGAAUAUUGGGCAAUGGGCGCAAGCCUGACCCAGCAACGCCGCGUGAGGGAAGAAGGCCUUCGGGUUGUAAACCUCUGUCCUUGGUGACGAAACAAAUGACGGUAGCCAAGGAGGAAGCCCCGGCUAACUACGUGCCAGCCGCCGCCGUAA